GGAGGGUAGACCUGGGAGUGAGUGCUUCAUUAAAAAGCAGCCAGGAAAGAGGCUGUGAGGAGGAUUAGCUUGGAUGAAUAGGAAGAUAGAAAGCACCAUUUGAUUUAUGAGCUGAAUAAAGUAACAAGUUCCCAGCCUGCAAUCCUGAAAGUAAAGGUUUAUUUUUGUUGAACUGAGCCAUCCCUUACAAAGUCAACCAUCUGAGGGAGAGAGGGAAACUGAGGCAGCAGACAGGCCUGGAGUCAGACCAGCUAUAAACUUCUGCAUGCAGUUUAAGAGAAGACAGUUGACUAACAAACAGUACUGUACUUAGGGGGAUUUCUUGAAAAUCAGCUGUAACACCAGCACAGUCAGGAUGAGCUGGUUCUUCAUCAGUAUAAUGAUGUGGAAGGUGGAAGACAAGGCCUGAUUACACAGCAGACCAUCCAUCAAUAUUCUGCAUCUCUGGGUUGCUCACCCAGCACUCAAUCACCGACCGCUGAAAUCCACUUUGCAACAGAGAGAGAUGACGGCAUCCUGUGCCACUAACGUAUGACAGGAGUCGAGAGGAAGUGAAGAAUAUCAUAGCUGAAGAGAACUCAAAGGUGGACUGGAGCUGGAAUUUAUGCCAGGCUCUACAGGAAUAGAUACUUUAGAAAUGCAUGAUUUAAUAAUCAAAAUAGGUUUGCAUAAAAAUUGCAAUGAGAACCAUAGCUCUGUUUUCAACCACAUGAAGGCAUUGGUUCAAUACUGACUUGGUUGGCCUUCAAUUGAAUUAUGCCCUGCAGCAUGGAUUUUUCUUGGAGGUUUCAUCUAUAAGUAUUGACUCCACUUUAUCUGUAAGGUUAGAUGAGUUUGCAUGACUAGAGACCCUGGGAGUAUUCUCGCGCACGCUCGCUCUCUCUCUCUCUCUCAUGCAUAUUGUGUUGACUUACAAAUGUGACCAGUCACCUGGUUUCAGUCAAUCCUUUUUGAUAUUAAGUGUUAAAAUAAAUGAAC